CUUCCUAUUCUGCCCAACUCCAUGUUCUCAACGAAACCGCAAGUCCCUAGAGGGUCCUCAUUUAACUCUCCACCUGCCCAGGCUGACGUUCGGUUGAUGACCGCUGGACGGAAAGACACAGUGGCCGCGGAGGGUUCCAGCUGAACACCGCCCAGCUGGGCAGCACUGAAGUCCCUGACCGCUUUCCACCGUCACAGACACGGCCCCAAAUAGCCCUUGCGAAUACAACUCUCCGGCUGGACUACAAUGCGCCAUGAGGUGACAGUGAUUGCACGAAGGUGGCAGAAAGAUACAACUCAUCAAUGGGAGACAGGCACCAGAACAUUCACGGUUGUCUGCGGGACGAAACCAAGACCCCUGUUCCCCUCCGGGGCCACGCAGCCCCAGCCAGCCAGCAAGGCUUACAGCUGUGGCCCCUGUCCCCGACUCUCCCGUGGGUCUCCCCAGCUGGCCCAGUCUAGGAGGCCUUCCAGCCUCCAAGUCCACCCAGGCCAAGACCUGAACGCGCAACUCUCCAAAAUGAGCACUAAACACCCAAAGCAGGCCAGUUCCUUAUGCCCUUUCUCAGUCCCACCCACUUACCCAGAGGUAGCGGGGUGGGGGAGGGAGGAGGCACAGGGCCAAUC